AGGUCACCACCAGGCGUGGAGCCUGCGGCUUAAUUUGACUCAACACGGGGAAACUCACCAGGUCCAGAUGAAAUAAGGAUUGACAGAUUGAGAGCUCUUUCUUGAUUUUUCAGGUGGUGGUGCAUGGCCGUUCUUAGUUCGUGGGGUGACUUGUCUGCUUAAUUGCGAUAACGAGCGAGACCUUACUCUGCUAAAUAGCCAGGCUAGCUUUGGCUGGUCGCCGGCUUCUUAGAGAGACUAUCAACUCAAGUUGAUGGAAGUUUGAGGCA
rnacentral:rRNA from 1 species